ACAUUACAAGCCACAAUGCUCAAAAACUCAUCAAAAACUCAUAAACUCAACAUAAGCUUACUCAUGCAUUUUCUACCCCAUGAACUUCAUAAAACUUACUUAAAACAUACAAUGAGCUUAAGAUCGGCUCUUACCUCUUGAAGAUCGAGAGAGAGACGACCUAAAACUCGGAGGUGGGAGAGAUUGGGUUCUUGAACCUCCAAGCUCCAAAACUUUGCUCAAAAGCUCAAAUCUUCAAAACAAAGUUAAAACAAAUGAAAAACUUGAAAGAUCUAGAGGAAAAACAUCAUAGAUCGGUGGGGGACGGCGGAG
rnacentral:lncRNA from 1 species